rnacentral:rRNA from 1 species
GUCGAACGGCAGCGCGGGAGCAAUCCUGGCGGCGAGUGGCGAACGGGUGAGUAAUACAUCGGAACGUGCCCAAUCGUGGGGGAUAACGCAGCGAAAGCUGUGCUAAUACCGCAUACGAUCUACGGAUGAAAGCAGGGGAUCGCAAGACCUUGCGCGAAUGGAGCGGCCGAUGGCAGAUUAGGUAGUUGGUGAGGUAAAGGCUCACCAAGCCUUCGAUCUGUAGCUGGUCUGAGAGGACGACCAGCCACACUGGGACUGAGACACGGCCCAGACUCCUACGGGAGGCAGCAGUGGGGAAUUUUGGACAAUGGGCGAAAGCCUGAUCCAGCCAUGCCGCGUGCAGGAUGAAGGCCUUCGGGUUGUAAACUGCUUUUGUACGGAACGAAACGGUCUUUUCUAAUAAAGAAGGCUAAUGACGGUACCGUAAGAAUAAGCACCGGCUAACUACGUGCCAGCAGCCGCGGUAAUACGUAGGGUGCAAGCGUUAAUCGGAAUUACUGGGCGUAAAGCGUGCGCAGGCGGUGAUGUAAGACAGUUGUGAAAUCCCCGGGCUCAACCUGGGAACUGCAUCUGUGACUGCAUCGCUGGAGUACGGCAGAGGGGGAUGGAAUUCCGCGUGUAGCAGUGAAAUGCGUAGAUAUGCGGAGGAACACCGAUGGCGAAGGCAAUCCCCUGGGCCUGUACUGACGCUCAUGC